UGGGGAAUCUUAGACAAUGGGGGCAACCCUGAUCUAGCCAUGCCGCGUGAGUGAUGAAGGCCUUAGGGUUGUAAAGCUCUUUCAGCUGGGAAGAUAAUGACGGUACCAGCAGAAGAAGCCCCGGCUAACUCCGUGCCAGCAGCCGCGGUAAUACGGAGGGGGCUAGCGUUGUUCGGAAUUACUGGGCGUAAAGCGAACGUAGGCGGACUGGAAAGUUGGGGGUGAAAUCCCGGGGCUCAACCUCGGAACUGCCUUCAAAACUAUCAGUCUGGAGUUCGAGAGAGGUGAGUGGAAUUCCGAGUGUAGAGGUGAAAUUCGUAGAUAUUCGGAGGAACACCAGUGGCGAAGGCGGCUCACUGGCUCGAUACUGACGCUGAGGUGCGAAAGCGUGGGGAGCAAACA
rnacentral:rRNA from 1 species